rnacentral:rRNA from 1 species
UACGGGGGGCAAGCGUUGUUCGGAAUUACUGGGCGUAAAGGCUCGUAGGCGGCCAACUAAGUCGGAUGUGAAAUCCCAAGCUUAACUUGGGAACUGCAUCCGAUACUGGAUGGCUUGAAUCCGGGAGAGGGAUGCAGAAUUCCAGGUGUAGCGGUGAAAUGCGUAGAUAUCUGGAGGAAUACCGGUGGCGAAGGCGGCAUCCUGGACCGGCAUUGACGCUGAGGAGGCGAAGCUAGGAGCAACGG